rnacentral:rRNA from 1 species
CACGAACGCUGGCGGCAGGCUUAACACAUGCAAGUCGAACGGUUGCAGCAAUGCAGCAGUGGCAGACGGGUGAGUAACACGUGGGAACCUUCCUAGGGGUACGGAACAACUCAGGGAAACUUGCGCUAAUACCGUAUACGUCCGUGAGGAGAAAGAUUUAUCGCCCUUAGACGGGCCCGCGUCGGAUUAGCUAGUUGGUGGGGUAACGGCCUACCAAGGCGACGAUCCGUAGCUGGUCUUAGAGGCUGAUCAGCCACACUGGGACUGAGACACGGCCCAGACUCCUACGGGAGGCAGCAGUGGGGAAUCUUGGACAAUGGGCGCAAGCCUGAUCCAGCCAUGCCGCGUGAGUGAAGAAGGUCUUCGGAUUGUAAAGCUCUUUUGCCAGGGACGAUAAUGACGGUACCUGGAGAAUAAGCCCCGGCAGACUUCGUGCCAGCCGCCGCCGUAAUAC